CCUACGGGUGGCAGCAGUGAGGAAUAUUGGUCAAUGGGCGAGAGCCUGAACCAGCCAAGUCGCGUGAAGGAUGAAGGCUCUAUGGGUUGUAAACUUCUUUUAUAUGGGAAUAAAGUGAUGAACGUGUUCCUUUUUGUAUGUACCAUAUGAAUAAGCAUCGGCUAACUCCGUGCCAGCAGCCGCGGUAAUACGGAGGAUGCGAGCGUUAUCCGGAUUUAUUGGGUUUAAAGGGUGCGUAGGUGGUCGGAUAAGUUAGAGGUGAAAGUUCGAGGCUCAACUUCGGAAUUGCAGUUGAUACUGGUAGGCUAGAGUGUAGUAGAGGUAGGCGGAAUGUAUGGUGUAGCGGUGAAAUGCUUAGAGAUCAUGAAGAACACCGAUUGCGAAGGCAGUUUACUAAGCUACUUCUGACGUUGAGGCUCGAAAGUGUGGGGAGCAAACAGGAUUAGAUACCCCUGUAGUC
rnacentral:rRNA from 1 species